AGGAGAGUUUGAUCAUGGCUCAGAUUGAACGCUGGCGGCAGGCCUAACACNUGCAANUCNAGCGGUAACAGGACUAGCUUGCUAGUUGCUGACNAGCGGCNGACGGGUGAGUAACGCGUAGGAAUCUACCAAGUAGUGGGGGAUAAGCCAGANAAAUUUGGUCUAAUACCGCAUACGUNCUUCGGAAGAAAGGAGGGGAUCUUCGGACCUUUCGCUAUUUGAUGAGCCUGCGUGAGAUUAGCUUGUUGGUGAGGUAAGAGCUCACCAAGGCGACGAUCUCUAGCUGGUCUGAGAGGAUGAUCAGCCACACUGGGACUGAGACACGGCCCAGACUCCUACGGGAGGCAGCAGUGGGGAAUAUUGCACAAUGGGCGCAAGCCUGAUGCAGCCAUGCCGCGUGUGUGAAGAAGGCCCUAGGGUUGUAAAGCACUUUCAGCAGUGAGGAAAGGUGUGUGGUUAAUACCCGCAUACUGUGACGUUAACUGCAGAAGAAGCACCGGCUAACUCCGUGCCAGCAGCCGCGGUAAUACGGAGGGUGCGAGCGUUAAUCGGAAUUACUGGGCGUAAAGCG
rnacentral:rRNA from 1 species